GUUUCCGAGGCUCAAAAUAAUUUUGAGCAGGGAGGCUCAACAUUUUUUGCGGCAUUAAAUGUUUUGAAUUAACAUUACCUUUGACAGCCCUGCUUUGAAUAAAGGCUAAAUUAUUUUCAAGCAUCAACUACAGCAGCAGUGAUAAAAACAGAUACAUCUUCCCGAAAAUACUGCAACAUAUUAGUUAGUACAUUCUCUUGCAGCAUCAAGUAAAACACCAGUGUCAACACCACCAACAGUCUUCAAAGAGAGACCAGAGAAUGAGGGAGCAGAAGGAAUUCUGGGAUUUAACAGCACAGUAGCCUUGGUCCUCCUAAUUUUGUCACUGUCUGUCCUGAUUUUACUGUGGAGGUACUUGGGGAUCCUGAAACAAAGUAAGGGUCUUUAAAUAUCAAAUGGACAAUUGCACUGAUCAAACAUGGAUGUGAUUGAAUCCCUACCUUAAAAUUAUAAUGUUAAGAUAAGUAACCAGGUGAACAAAAGUGGUUUCAGUAUUUCCUUCUUUCUCUUACAGUGAUAAGUAAAUACCAUGGCUCAAGUGAGAUACAGGAUAUGGGUCAAACCUACAAUGUACUCUCUUCUGUACCAGGUACACUAUAUCAGUUCAUAUUUAUAUACAAAAUGUUUUGCAUUAUAUAAUGUUUAUUU
rnacentral:lncRNA from 1 species